rnacentral:tRNA from 1 species
UCCCCGAUGGCACAAUUGGCUAGCGCGUCAGACUGUUACAAUCAGAAUUGUUCCCAAGAGCAAUCAAGAUGGAUAUCUGGAGGUUGGUGGUUCGAGCCCACCUUGGGGAG